ensembl:lncRNA
AAAAAAAAAAAUAACUUGCAGCUUCCAAGUUCAGAGAAAGCAUAAAAAUGUGAUUUACUAUUUAUUGUACAGUUAGGCACAUGCAUAUUAUAUAUUGCAUGUUAAUCUUCAACUGCUAAAUUUAGCAAAUUUGACAACACUACUGUUUGCUAGUGAGGAAAAAGAAUCGACAUCUGUUCUCUUCCAGAUACGAUUCCUUCCUGGAAGGAAUCAGAAAUAGGCCCAGGCCUCCUCUUUUCUGGGUAAACUGACAGAAUGCGGGCUGUUUAAAUGGACAGUCAAACCACAAUGCCCCCUGGUGGUAAGAUGAUGCAUAAACAUUUAUCAGCAUGAAGACACAUUGAAUAUUUUCAAGAGAAACUUCAUUUUUAAUGAGGCAGAGAUUCUAGUUUUAAAAAUGCAAAUGCAAAAAGCAUAGCACAUUGAUGGUGCUUUAAGUAGAAUAUAAAGAGUCACCUGACUGUUAGUUAAGUCAGAGGCAUAUUUAGUUUAUCUAAACCACCUUGAUAGAAUUGUUUUGUUUUUUACAAUAUGUUUUAAUCCACAGUGAAGACUUGGGAGUAGGGAGGAAAAUCACAAGUGCAGCAUAUAUAGUUUUUAGACUAAAUUUACAAAAAUGAAACCAUCCGCGGAGGUGGACCUGUGAGUCUGCUGGCUUAGUGUUUGUCACUCCCGGUAAAAUGGGAGUGAGAACAGACUCCAGAUUUUACAGAAAGAUGGGGACCCCAUCUUUCCAGCAUGCUCUCAGCGGGCACCUCCGAUAAGCAGCUUAAAGGGAAUUUCCUCGGGUCAGACAUAAAUAGCGAUUCUCAGGUUCCCUUAAUCCAGACAGACAUCGCUUGUGAGUUAGGCCUCAUCAAUUUCGAAAAGAGACAGUUAACACAUGAAAGGCAGGGCUGUGGGAAGGCGCACACGCAUGUUCAAUGGGAAUGUGUGAGAUGUGGACUCAUGAAUCACGCAGACAAUACUGACGCCUUGUACGAAUUACAGAGCGCGGCAUCUUCCUUUCUCAGGAAGUUGCUCUUUGCUAUCUGUAGAAGAGGGGAUGGGAGAGCAAGAGGAGGAAUUGGGACACUUUUCUUUCUUCUCCGGAGAAGCUGAGCAAUUCACAGCUUCAAGUCACACAGCAGGUACCGAGUGAGAGUCCCCCAGAUACCUGGGCCCAUGACCCAGAGCUGCCUGCUUUGCUAAUUAUGACUUGUUUCUGAUGCAGGACACUACCCUGAUGGUUAAGAUGAUACUGCCCAAGAGAUGACACAGAAGGAUGCUGCAAUGGAAGUCUAAUCCACACUAAAGCCUGCACACAGAUGCCCAAUGCAGCAUUACUCACAGGAGCCAGAAACUGGAAACGAUGCAGCUGUUCAUCAGCCGAUGACUGGACCCACGAAACGUGGUCUAUCCAUACAAUGAAAUAGUACAGUCUUAAAAAGCACUGAUAUAUGCUACAGCGCUGAUGAGCUUUGAAAGCAUGAUGCUGAAAAAAAGAAGCCAGGACAAAAGACCAUGGAUUCAGUUCAGUUCAGUCGCUCAGUCGUGUCCAGCUCUUUGCAACCCCAU